rnacentral:rRNA from 1 species
AUUGAACGCUGGCGGCAGGCCUAACACAUGCACGUCGAACGAGUGGCGGACGGGUGAGUAAUGUCUGGGAAACUGCCUGAUGGAGGGGGAUAACUACUGGAAAAGGUAGCUAAUACCGCAUACCCUCAGAUGUGCCCAGAUGGGAUUAGCUAGUUGGGGGGGUAACGGCUCACCAAGGCGACGAUCCCUAGCUGGUCGGAGAGGAUGACCAGCCACACUGGAACUGAGACACGGUUCCGACUCCUACGUGAGGCAGCAGUGGUGAAUAUUGGACAAUGGGCACAAGCCUGAUGCAGCCAUGCCGCGUGUAUGAAGAAGGCCUUCGGGGUGUAAAGUACUUUCAGCGGGGAGGCGUUACCCGCAGAAGAAGCACCGGCUAACUCCGUGCCAGCAGCCGCGGUAAUUC